AUGGACUAAUUGGGUCAUCCAACAUUCACCCACAUCAACAACAAUAGAUGCAAUGCGGCAUAUUCGUGAAACUAAUGCAAUCAUCCUAUUGCAUAAUCAUGAUGCAUGAAACAUGAUAAAACAUUUAAUUUAAAAGAUCAAGUUUAGUUCCACUCACCUCUGGCAGACUCUGACAACACCGAAGCAGCUGAACUCACUGCUGGGGUCCUCGGUUCCUCGGGUCCGAACCUACACAGGUGGACUCAAAUGAGGGACCAAACAUACCUGAACAUAACUAUAAACUACUCCCCAAAACCCCCUAAAACAUCAUGAAACAAUCAUACAAAAACAUGCAAAGAAGGCCUGAACAGGGCACUUUCGGCGGCAGGUUCGGCGGCCGAAAGUCCCUCCAGAGCCGAAAGUCAGGCAGGUUCGGCGGCACCUUCGGCGGCCGAAACUCCCAGACAGAGACGAAACUCAUGCAUGUUCGGCGGCACCUUCGGCGGCCGAAACUGCCAGACAGAGACGAAAGUCUCCUUUCGGGGGCAAGCUUCGGCAGCCGAAAGGCUGCCUCCCCAGCCAUGUUCGGCGACCGAAAGUUCCUUCGGCUGCCGAACCUGGGUUCUGCCAAAGGGCAGAAACUUGGCUCUCAAUGCACAUUUCGCCUCCAAGCUUACCAAACAUGCAUCAAACCUAUUCUACAACACACAACGCAAGCAUACAUAUUCCUAGGGGUCUCAAACCAUCAUAAACCCCAUCUACAACACAUCAAGCAUCCACAUUGUUCAAGAACACACAUUUAUACCCAUAAAUAUAACCAUAACCUAAACAUGCAUUCUAACCCAUAGAUCUUGCAUAAAACUUAUUCAAAACAUAAAACGAGCUUAAGAUCGGCUCUUACCUCUUGAAGAUCGAGAGAGACGACCCAAAAACUCGGAGUUGGGAGAGAUUUGGUUCUUGAACCUCCAAGCUCCAAAACUUUGCUCAAAAGCUUAAAUCUUCAUAACCAAGUUAAAACAAGUGAAAAUCUUGAAAGAUUUAGAGGAAGAACAUCAAAAAUGGGUGA
rnacentral:lncRNA from 1 species